UAUUCCGUCCAUGCAGGAAGGAUGAGAAGCUUCGACCAAGGUUCGAUUCGAGCGCAGCGAGAAAGCGUUGCCGCAGGCAACGACCCGAAGGGCGAAGCACAAAGCUCUGAGUUAUCCUUCCCCCACCACCC
rnacentral:sRNA from 2 species